rnacentral:rRNA from 1 species
GUAGGUGGCAAGCGUUGUCCGGAAUUAUUGGGCGUAAAGCGCGCGCAGGCGGUCCUUUAAGUCUGAUGUGAAAGCCCACGGCUCAACCGUGGAGGGUCAUUGGAAACUGGGGGGACUUGAGUACAGAAGAGGAAAGCGGAAUUCCAAGUGUAGCGGUGAAAUGCGUAGAGAUUUGGAGGAACACCAGUGGCGAAGGCGGCUUCCUGGUCUGUAACUGACGCUGAGGCGCGAAAGCGUGGGGAGCAAACAGGGAUUAGAUACCCUGGUAGUCCACGCCGUAAACGAUGAGUGCUAAGUGUAGGGGGUUUCCGCCCCUUAGUGCUGCAGCUAACGCAUUAAGCACUCCGCCUGGGGAGUACGGCCGCAAGGCUG